CCUACGGGCGGCAGCAGUGGGGAAUAUUGGACAAUGGGGGCAACCCUGAUCCAGCCAUGCCGCGGGUGUGAAGAAGGCCCUCGGGUUGGAAAGCACUUUCAGUGAGGAAGAACGCCUGGUGGUUAAUACCCAUCAGGAAAGACAUCACUCACAGAAGAAGCACCGGCUAACUCCGUGCCAGCAGCCGCGGUAAUACGGAGGGUGCGAGCGUUAAUCGGAAUUACUGGGCGUAAAGCGCGCGUAGGUGGCUUGAUAAGCCGGUUGUGAAAGCCCCGGGCUCAACCUGGGAACGGCAUCCGGAACUGUCAAGCUAGAGUGCAGGAGAGGAAGGUAGAAUUCCCGGUGUAGCGGUGAAAUGCGUAGAGAUCGGGAGGAAUACCAGUGGCGAAGGCGGCCUUCUGGACUGACACUGACACUGAGGUGCGAAAGCGUGGGUAGCAAACAGGAUUAGAUACCCCUGUAGUC
rnacentral:rRNA from 1 species